ensembl:lncRNA
UGCUGUUAAUGUAGGCAGAACAUCAUCUUCAGACUAGGAAUAUUUUGUGUCACAGUGUCCAUCAGCUUUGCUUCUUUGGAAGACCAAGUAUUAAGAAGAUAAAUAGAUACGGUCACUGGCAUGGAAGAUGGAAGAGACAUAACUGCAGAGGAAAAGGUCCCACAGAUUCAUAGCAUAGGAUGUCAGCAGAGACUAGUAUAACUAGUUUGGUUCAACUGACACAGCCUACCAAUUUAUGGGACGUCCUGUGAGAAAGUAUUGACUCAGCAUUGCAUCUUGGAAACUUCUGCCUAAGAACCCACCUAAAUAUAGUGAUUGUGGUUCCUCUAGACUAAAUUAAUUAUUGGACAAAUUAAAGAGUUAGGUAUAAGAUCACUCACUGUCCAGGGGAGUUCUGGCAGGCUUUUGACUUGUUUACAGAAGAAAAGGAACUGCUUAACGCAGGUAUUUUCUGAAAGCAACUUCUUGGUGUGUCACAGUGAAAAAGUAAGAAUGUGAGCUCCAUAAACUGAAAAAAAGUCC